AUUGAACGCUGGCGGCAGGCCUAACACAUGCAAGUCGAGCGGAUGAAGGGAGCUUGCUCCUGGAAUCAGCGGCGGACGGGUGAGUAAUGCCUAGGAAUCUGCCUGGUAGUGGGGGAUAACGUCCGGAAACGGGCGCUAAUACCGCAUACGUCCUGAGGGAGAAAGUGGGGGAUCUUCGGACCUCACGCUAUCAGAUGAGCCUAGGUCGGAUUAGCUAGUUGGUGGGGUAAAGGCCUACCAAGGCGACGAUCCGUAACUGGUCUGAGAGGAUGAUCAGUCACACUGGAACUGAGACACGGUCCAGACUCCUACGGGAGGCAGCAGUGGGGAAUAUUGGACAAUGGGCGAAAGCCUUAUCCAGCCAUGCCGCGUGUGUGAAGAAGGUCUUCGGAUUGUAAAGCACUUUAAGUUGGGAGGAAGGGCAGUAAGUUAAUACCUUGCUGUUUUGACGUUACCAACAGAAUAAGCACCGGCUAACUUCGUG
rnacentral:rRNA from 1 species